UGGGGAAUUUUGGACAAUGGGGGAAACCCUGAUCCAGCCAUCCCGCGUGUGCGAUGAAGGCCUUCGGGUUGUAAAGCACUUUUGGCAGGAAAGAAACGUCAUGGGUUAAUACCCCGUGAAACUGACGGUACCUGCAGAAUAAGCACCGGCUAACUACGUGCCAGCAGCCUCGGUAAUACGUAGGGUGCAAGCGUUAAACGGAAUUACUGGGCGUAAAGCGUGCGCAGGCGGUUCGGAAAGAAAGAUGUGAAAUCCCAGAGCUCAACUUUGGAACUGCAAUUUUAACUACCGAGCUAGAGUGUGUCAGAGGGAGGUGGAAUUCCGCGUGUAGCAGUGAAAUGCGUAGUUAUACGGAGGAACACCGAUGUCGAAGGCAGCCUCCUGGGAUAACACUGACGCUCAUGCAAGAAAGCGUGGGGAGCAAACAGG
rnacentral:rRNA from 1 species